AACGAACGCUGGCGGCAUGCCUAACACAUGCCAGUCGAACGAGACCUUCGGGUCUAGUGGCGCACGGGUGCGUAACGCGUGGGAACCUGCCCUUAGGUUCGGAAUAACUCCCCGAAAGGGGUGCUAAUACCGGAUAAUGUCUUCGGACCAAAGAUUUAUCGCCUUUGGAUGGGCCCGCGUUGGAUUAGCUAGUUGGUAGGGUAAAAGCCUACCAAGGCGACGAUCCAUAGCUGGUCUGAGAGGAUGAUCAGCCACACUGGGACUGAGACACGGCCCAGACUCCUACGGGAGGCAGCAGUGGGGGAUAUUGGACAAUGGGCGAAAGCCUGAUCCAGCAAUGCCGCGUGAGUGAUGAAGGCCUUAGGGUUGUAAAGCUCUUUUACCCGGGAUGAUAAUGACAGUACCGGGAGAAUAAGCUCCGGCUAACUCCGUG
rnacentral:rRNA from 1 species